rnacentral:rRNA from 1 species
UACGUAGGGUGCGAGCGUUGCCCGGAUUUAUUGGGCGUAAAGGGCGCGUAGGCGGCCACGCACGUCCGUUGUGAAAUCGCCCGGCUCAACUGGGCGGGGUCAGCGGAUACGGUGUGGCUAGAGCAAGCUAGGGGGCAAUGGAAUUCCCGGUGUAGUGGUGGAAUGCGUAGAUAUCGGGAGGAACACCAGUGGCGAAGGCGGUUGCCUGGAGCUUUGCUGACGCUGAUGCGCGAAAGCGUGGGGAGCGAACCGG